GAGAUGUUGGGUUAAGUCCCGGCAACGAGCGCAACCCUCGACCUUAGUUGCCAGCAUUCAGUUGGCACUCUAAGGGUGACUGCCGGCUAAAAGUCGGAGGAAGGUGGGAUGACGUCAAAUCAUCAUGCCCCUUAUGACCUGGGCUACACACGUGCUACAAUGGGCGGUACAAAGGGUCGCGAACCCGCGAGGGGGAGCCAAUCCCAAAAAGCCGCUCUCAGUUCGGAUUGCAGGCUGCAACUCGCCUGCAUGAAGCCGGAAUCGCUAGUAAUCGCGGAUCAGCAUGCCGCGGUGAAUACGUUCCCGGGCCUU
rnacentral:rRNA from 1 species